AGAGUUUGAUCCUGGCUCAGGACGAGCGCUGGCGGCGUGCCUAAUACAUGCAAGUCGAACGAAGCUUUCUUUCACCGAAUGCUUGCAUUCACCGAAAGAAGCUUAGUGGCGAACGGGUGAGUAACACGUAGGCAACCUGCCCAAAAGAGGGGGAUAACACUUGGAAACAGGUGCUAAUACCGCAUAACCAUGAACACCGCAUGAUGUUCGUGUAAAAGACGGCUUUUGCUGUCACUUUUGGAUGGGCCUGCGGCGUAUUAACUUGUUGGUGGGGUAACGGCCUACCAAGGUGAUGAUACGUAGCCGAACUGAGAGGUUGAUCGGCCACAUUGGGACUGAGACACGGCCCAAACUCCUACGGGAGGCAGCAGUAGGGAAUCUUCCACAAUGGACGAAAGUCUGAUGGAGCAACGCCGCGUGAAUGAAGAAGGCCUUCGGGUCGUAAAAUUCUGUUGUCAGAGAAGAAUGUGCGUGAGAGUAACUGUUCACGUAUUGACGGUAUCUGACCAGAAAGCCACGGCUAACUACGUGCCAGCAGCCGCGGUAAUACGUAGGUGGCAAGCGUUGUCCGGAUUUAUUGGGCGUAAAGGGAACGCAGGCGGUCUUUUAAGUCUGAUGUGAAAGCCUUCGGCUUAACCGAAGUAGUGCAUUGGAAACUGGAAGACUUGAGUGCAGAAGAGGAGAGUGGAACUCCAUGUGUAGCGGUGAAAUGCGUAGAUAUAUGGAAGAACACCAGUGGCGAAAGCGGCUCUCUGGUCUGUAACUGACGCUGAGGUUCGAAAGCGUGGGUAGCAAACAGGAUUAGAUACCCUGGUAGUCCACGCCGUAAACGAUGAGUGCUAAGUGUUGGAGGGUUUCCGCCCUUCAGUGCUGCAGCUAACGCAUUAAGCACUCCGCCUGGGGAGUACGGUCGCAAGACUGAAACUCAAAGGAAUUGACGGGGGCCCGCACAAGCGGUGGAGCAUGUGGUUUAAUUCGAAGCAACGAGAAGAACCUUACCAGGUCUUGACAUCUUCUGACAAUUCCAGAGAUGGAACGUUCCCUUCGGGGACAGAAUGACAGGUGGUGCAUGGUUGUCGUCAGCUCGUGUCGUGAGAUGUUGGGUUAAGUCCCGCAACGAGCGCAACCCUUAUUGUCAGUUGCCAUCAUUAAGUUGGGCACUCUGGCGAGACUGCCGGUGACAAACCGGAGGAAGGUGGGGAUGACGUCAAAUCAUCAUGCCCCUUAUGACCUGGGCUACACACGUGCUACAAUGGACGGUACAACGAGUCGCUAACUCGCGAGGGCAAGCUAAUCUCUUAAAGCCGUUCUCAGUUCGGAUUGCAGGCUGCAACUCGCCUGCAUGAAGUCGGAAUCGCUAGUAAUCGCGAAUCAGCAUGUCGCGGUGAAUACGUUCCCGGGCCUUGUACACACCGCCCGUCACACCAUGAGAGUUUGUAACACCCAAAGUCGGUGGGGUAACCUUUUGGAGCCAGCCGCCUAAGGUGGGACAGAUGAUUGGGGUGAAGUCGUAACAAGGUA
rnacentral:rRNA from 1 species